AUUGAACGCUGGCGGCAGGCCUAACACAUGCAAGUCGAACGAGUGGCGGACGGGUGAGUAAUGUCUGGGAAACUGACUGAUGGAGGGGGAACACUAAUGGAAACGGUAGCUAAUACCGCAUACUAUCGGAUGCGCCCAGAGGGGAUUAGCUAGUAGGGGGGGUAACGGCGCACACAGGCGACGAGCCCUAGCUGGUCUGAGAGGAGGACCAGCCACACUGGAACUGAGACACGGUCCAGACUCCUACGGGAGGCAGCAGUGGGGAAUAUUGCACAAUGGGCGCAAGCCUGAUGCAGCCAUGCCGCGUGUAUGAAGAAGGCCUUCGGGUUGUAAAGUACUUUCAGCGGGGAGGCGUUACCCGCAGAAGAAGCACCGGCUAACUCCGUGCCAGCAGCCGCGGUAAUAC
rnacentral:rRNA from 1 species